ensembl:lncRNA
CAGCUCUGUAGGUCAGAAGUUAAAGCUCAGUGGGCUUCUGUGCUCAGGGUCUCACAAGGCUGAAACCAAGGUUUCAGUUAGGUCGGGAUCUUACCUGGAGGCUCUGGAAAGAUUUUACCCCCAAGCUCAUUCAGUAUAUUCUUGCGGCCCUGCCACCAGAUGAAAGGAAGAGCAUGAAAGCACCAGCAGAUCCGGGGCCCUGCCUUUCCAGCUUUAACAUGCCAACAAACGUGGACGGGGCGCUCGGCUGACGGAGGCAUCUGUUGUUCCUGUGCACCGGCUUCAGCUGGGAGCGGCUGAGAACAACAGCUAGGUGAUAUGUAGGGUUGGCAUUGAAGAUCACAGAUCUCUUGAAGAUCCUCUCAGCAUUCAGGAUGGCCAAGCAGGGUAGCUGGAAUGCCAAGCUUGGCACCUCAGCCUCAAAUCCUUUUAGAACUGAAGAUCUCAGCUGGUCCCAAGUGAAUCUCCAUUUGUGUUCCCUCUUCAAUAAAGUCUUCUUCUCAACACAGAGGAGGAUGUGAAAGCCACGGCUCCUGAAGGCACUGUCCCUGCUAUUUGAAAGACCAAGACAUAUAUACACACGUAUGUCCUGUGUGUGGAUAACUUACAACAAAGUAUUCUGAUCCUGAAUGUAUGUACAGUAGAAUGUUAACUCCUUCUAGGCAUAGAAGUAGCACCAUAUGUCCCUGUAGUAGGAAUGUGUCCCAAUCCUAGAAUGAUGGGGUUGUAUUUGGUAUGUGACUCUAAAGUCAAACUUACUAUUGAAAUGUAUAACUGAUCUACAAAGAUAUUUAUAAGCCUCCCUCCCCUCUAUUUUAAUAAAGUGAAUGAAGGAUAAUUCCAGACAUUUUAUGUUUUUUAAAAAAAAUCUUUGAAACAUUUAUAUAGUGUUUCUUAUGUAACAAGCAUUAUGCAACAAACAUUGCUCUACAUCUUUUUACAGAUAAUAAUUUAAUUCCCUGUGAGCAGGAUACAACUAUCACUCCCUUUUAUACAUAAGAAAAUGAGGAACAGAGAUUAGAUUAUUUACCCAAAUUCACACAGCCAGUUAGAGCUGGAAUUCUGAUCCUUCUAGUCUAGAGCCACAGUCUAUAUC